UUUCAAUCUCCAGCAACCAGUUUCAAAUGUCAGAACUCGGCACACGGAACAGAUUUGGCGGCAGUGAAGACGCCAGCUCCAGGCAAUCUGUGCCUACAAUUCUAGUGGAAGAAUCGACAAACCGUGCCGAGAAAUGUCCCACAGAUUCAGAAACACCGCAGGUUUCUGUUACGAGGACUGCGAGCAGGAGUGUGUCAGCGGUACUUGUUUUGUUCUUAACGUUCCCAAAGUGUGACAGCUGAGGAGGAAAACAGGCAUCUUUGGUUAACUUCACAGCAAACGGGAGAGCAUGCCAAUUCUUCUUGUGUGUCGGCUUUAGAGGGGAAAAGUGAAGAAAAGAAGCCAUCAUUAAAAAUGGUUUUAUGUUUGAGGUACCAGCGUUAUAUUUUAAAUAUUUGGAAAACCAGGAACACCUUCUAUGUGGUGUUUUUUAUAUUACAUGUAUUGUGAAAAUACACAUCAAUAAGAGUUUAACAGGAUUGUUCUAUUUAAG
rnacentral:lncRNA from 1 species